UAUUAGGUUGGUGCAAAAGUAAUCGCGGUUUUUGCCAUUAAAAGUAAUGGUGAAAUCCACUAUUACUUUUGCAACAACCUAA
ensembl:miRNA